UCAAGAAACUUCCACAAUGGGCGAAAGCCUGAUGGAGCGACGUCGCGUGAUGGACGAAGUGCUUCGGCACGUAAACAUCUUUUAUGUGGGAUGAAAUUAUUGACAGUACCACAUGAAUAAGGGGCUCCUACCUCUGUGCCAGCAGGAGCGGUAAUACAGAGGCCCCAAGCGUUAUCCGGAAUCACUGGGCGUAAAGGGUGUCGAGGCGGUUGUAUUAGUCGUUCGUAAAAUCUACGAGCUUAACUUGUAGGCGGCGAACGAAACGGUACGACUUGAGGUUUGGAGAGGUGCGUGGAACUCACGGUGUAGGGGUGAAAUCCGUUGAUAUCGUGGGGAACACCAAAGGCGAAGGCAGCGCACUGGCCAAAAUCUGACGCUCACACACGAAAGCUAGGGUAGCGAAGAGGAUUAGAUACCCCCGUAGUCCCUGAGCGGGCUGGCAAGGCGCAU
rnacentral:rRNA from 1 species